GCCAGUUUCGUGAUCGGUAGUGUCUGCAAGGACUCUCCAAGGGAAUGCGGUGCGCCCGUCUCGGCGGGCAAUUCCGCGGCUGCCCCCGCAACUGUAGGCGGAUAGCCGACGACCAGAAAAACCACUGGAGCCCGUUCGGGUCUCUGGGAAGGUGGUCGAAGGCAGUGACCCGCGAGCCAGGAAACCUGCUACCAGCCAUGGUCACGC
rnacentral:ncRNA from 2 species